rnacentral:lncRNA from 1 species
GUUGUUUUAAAGAUCAGAGGACAUUCCUUAGAGAAAUAGGCCCAUUUUAGAGAUGAAAACUGAAAUACAAGUAAGCUGUAUUUUAGAUUUGCUUGUGAAGGUAAUUACAAACCUACUGUAGAAACUCAAAGCUCUCAGUCCAGCUGAGAAAGUUAUAGCCCUGAUUUAUAAAUUAGCUUGAAAGAGAUGAUGAUUCUUUCUCCUGCCUUGGAAAUAAUCUUGGUUUCUGGCUAAGAAAUCAAUUACAUCAUAUCAAUUAACUCAAGGACAGAAAAACUUGUCUAAAACUUGGCUGGUCCAGCACUUAAUCCAGCUUUGACUCAAAGAACCUCUUAAACAAAUGAACUAGCCUCAGUAGCCACUACAGAAUCCCAUCAUUUGCUUAAAUAUUCUUGUACUAAAUUCUCAAUUUAGUAAGUGCUACAUAGGCAUGAUAAUUUAGUUUUGGGUACUGAGAGAAAUAUUUUCAUUCAGUUUAGAAAAUAAUUUCAGUUUGUGUGUAUAUAGGAUGUUGUUACAUAUAUAUUGAUAAUUUUUGCUCUGCAAUUUAUUUUCAUUUUUGCACAGCUUUUUUCAAUAUUUUAAAUUAUAAAUCUUGUUUUAAUUUCUGAACAUUAUAAAAAUAACUCUCAAGAACAUUAUUACAUUUGCAUUAAAAUUGUAUCAGUCAUUCAUUUUUUAUGGAAAUUGUCAGAAUUUUUGGCAUUACCUUUAGUAAUAAUAAGUGUGGAAAUUAUCAAGCAUAUG